rnacentral:rRNA from 1 species
AUUGAACGCUGGCGGCAGGCUUAACACAUGCAAGUCGAGCGGAGAUGAGGUGCUUGCACCUUAUCUUAGCGGCGGACGGGUGAGUAAUGCUUAGGAAUCUGCCUAUUAGUGGGGGACAACAUUCUGAAAGGAAUGCUAAUACCGCAUACGCCCUACGGGGGAAAGCAGGGGAUCUUCGGACCUUGCGCUAAUAGAUGAGCCUAAGUCGGAUUAGCUAGUUGGUGGGGUAAAGGCCUACCAAGGCGACGAUCUGUAGCGGGUCUGAGAGGAUGAUCCGCCAAACUGGGACUGAGACACGGCCCAGACUCCUACGGGAGGCAGCAGUGGGGAAUAUUGGACAAUGGGCGGAAGCCUGAUCCAGCCAUGCCGCGUGUGUGAAGAAGGCCUUUUGGUUGUAAAGCACUUUAAGCGAGGAGGAGGCUACCUGGAUUAAUACUCUAGGAUAGUGGACGUUACUCGCAGAAUAAGCACCGGCUAACUCUGUGCCAGCCGCCGCGGUAAAAC